rnacentral:lncRNA from 1 species
AUGUCAAAGGAUGUCUGGUAAACUAGGAAGAAAACAUAAGUUCGUCAGUCAGAUAGUUCUUCAUGAAUUAUAUAAAGUUCAGAAAAAUGAUCAACUUGAAGUGUAUAUUUCACGUUGGAAGAAAUACAUCUACAAAGUUGCAGAGUAUAAUCGCCUCCGGCUAUAUUAUAUAUAGCAGUACUGGAAAAGGUAAUAAUUUAAUCAUUUUAUUAAAAGUUUAUUGAUGAUAAAAUUCUAUAAGAAAGGCGAAAGAUACAAAAUGUACAUUCAAACGAAAACGAUAAUAACCCCGCCCCAUGCUGUAGGUAUGUGCCUGUCCUUCGUCAGGUACCUUUAUAUUAUUUUAGAUGUUGUAAUUUGUUGCUGAGUUACAUGUUUGUUUUCGGUUAAUUUUUUUUAACAUACAUUAGCCCGUUAGUUUUCUCGUUUGAGUUGUUUUACAUUUGUCAUUUCGGAUCCUCCUGUAGCUGACUUUGUGGUAUGGUCUUUGCUCAUUAGGCCAUACAGUGACCUACAUUUCUUAAUUUCUGUGUCAUUUGGUCUCUUGUGAAGAGUUUUCUCACUAGCAACGAUACCACAUCUUCUUUUCUACAUUGACAACGUCCGGUCUCAACAGAAAAAUUUACCAACAGACAAACAAUAGUACACAGCACACAGCAUAGACAACUAAAGACUGAAACAUUAUUAAACAUUUAUCCACGCAUGCGCGGGUAUAAAGGACAGUUAGUAGACGUUUAUGGGCACAACAGUCAUAUUUUAUGUUGCUUAAUUUCAGCUAAAAUGAAUGUGUUAGUAUGUUUUGAUUCAUACGAUAAUCGUUUGUUCUAUUCUUUUGAUGGAACAUAUUAUGGAUGUAUAUUACUUAUUCAAAAAGAUGAGACAAUAAUGCGAUAACACUCAAUAUUUUUGAGCUACCCUUUUCUUUUGAUUUGUCACUUUGUCAAAGUUAAGUUGACAUUGGUAUUCUUAUUGCCGAAUGACAUUCUAAAAAAAAUAUUACCACUUUCUUUUAUUUAUAUUAAGUACGGUUUUAUCUGGAUGGUAAUUCAGUCGUCUCUAAUUCGGAUUUAUAAAGGUAUAGUGACUGUUUAUUAUUUUAUCUUUCGUUCCUCUUUUUUACAAGUUUUGUUAAUUCCUACAACGUUUGUUAGAGAUUUGAAAUAUCAACUAUAUUGCUCGCGUAAAUAUAAUUAAUUAAUCACUGGUUUUCUUUAUCUAUAUCUUCUAAUUAAGAAAAAGGCCUGUACCUAGUCAGCUUUUGCAAAAUGCUUAGGGACUUUUCGUUUAGAUUUUUUUCGUAGUUCAGUAUUUUUGUCAUGUUUACAUUUAAGGUGGAGUUUACCACUAAUCAACUUUUAGAUAUUAUGGACAUAAUUGUGCAAAUCGUGAUACAAGCAUGGAAAUUGAUAUAUGGUUGGACUAAAUGAUAAUUAAAAAAAUUCAGCUGCUGGCCAUAAAAAAAAAUCAUUUUUUCAAGAUGGCCACCGCUCAUUUUGCAAAUGGCGUAAUAUCCAAUUGGUUACAUUUCGUAAAUCUUUUGAAACCUGUGUAAUAGGUAUAAUCCAAUGUAAGUUUUGAUAAAACUAAAAUAACAGUUCCUAUAGUAUGAAAAACCAAUAACUUCAUGAAGAAAAAAAGUGACUUCCUUUCCUAAAAUGGCGGCAAAACGUGGAAAAUGUCAAUUUUAUCAUUUCUAUCAACUUAACAAGAGAUAUCGCUGACUUUGUUAAGUUCAAAUGCAUAUAAUAAUUUGUUUAGAAAGACAAGUUGCUUAUCUUAUAAUUAUCUGACAGUUACCAAUACACAAACCUGUACACGGAAGGCCAGAACGGUAGCAUUUACAGUUACCAACACAGCUGAAUGUUUUGCAUCCACAUUAAAAAAAAUCAUGACACGAGGAUCAGCGGCCACCAAAGAAGUCCAUUGUGGUUUACAAUUGUCAUUGAUUUUGUCUUUAACUCAACUCCUGUGUUCAUGACUUGGUAUAUGAUCCUGUCGAAUGCAUAAAUCCAGACGAGCCCAAAAAUGUCCACCUUGAUAUGCUUCUCUUUUGAUGUGCUCCAAAAGAUUAAAAUCAUUAACAGCAAACGGUGAUGUUUCCGUAUAUGAUGCAAACAAUACUUCUUUGAUGUCCAUGUCCGUGUCUUCAUACAAAAUUUGGCAAAAACGUCCGUUACAUCUUAGAAUACUUUCAAUGUCUGCAAAGCUGACCGCUUUCCGAUGAAAUGCCGACACAGUAUCAUACCCACUAAAUACAUAAAGGAAAGGAAAAGCUGCUACACGAGGACCAAACGCAUUUGAUAUGACAUGUACAGGAAGCCGCCGAAAGUCUUUAUUCCUUAAAAAAAACUAUCCACAAUUUGUCCACACCUAAUCUUACGAGUACUGCAAUUCCUAAUACUACUACAUCUAUGUCAGUACUACUUAAAAUUAUUUUUUACAACCAUUUUCAGCAGCAUGCAUAUCAUGGACAAUCAUUCGUGUAUCGGUAUCUCCUUUUUCGUGGUCACGAGGGGAUAGCUCGGUAGUAUCCGUAUUGAAAUUGCAAAGAAUAUUUUCACCUUGAGUAGCAUAAGCAUUUGCAGUAGUCUCUAAGAAAGCAAUUCUGUCGGCAAGAUACUUGAAAAAUUCUGUUUUAUUGUAAUCUUCACAUAGAAAACUACUCAGAACCCUUGGCAUUCUACCAGAACCAGCAAAUUUCCGUCUAGCACCAGUACUUUGCCUUUAAUUUAUUAAUUUAAUGAACAUCGAACCGAUGUCUACUCUUGGAUACUUAUCUAAGAAAUAUUUUAUAAAAGGCAGUAUAAUAUCACUUGCAUAAUCAUCAAAUAUGUUUGCCCCAAGUGGUGGCAAUAAAUUAACCAUUGCUGCCCUGUUAACGAUAAUUGCGUCAUAAUUUGGAUCAGUUGAUGGCAAAUCGCAGAAUGUUCCAAGUAUACCCAUUUGCUGCGAUUACAUACCACAUCCUGACACGAAGGCGGAGGAGCAGUUUGGUUUUCAUGGCUAAAGAAGAAACUAAAAGAGAUCGCAAUCAGUGUUCAGGUUCUCUAGCUUUGUUUUUUGACAAAGAAAUUUCCAGUUUCAUUUUAACAUCCAUCGUCUCGAAGGGAUCUUAGAUUAAACGUAUGGUACCAACAUCGCCGUUCACGACUCAUUACUCUGUGUUUGUGCCUGAUCAAUUGUAAUAUAAGAAAUCAACUUGCUGGUCUUACGUACAGUGAAAAUUACCAUUUGCAAUUUCAUCGCCACCUCUGGGUUAUGUUCGUGAAGGGAAGCCAUAUCUUGGAGAUAACCAUCGAGCAUAAUUUACACGAUCAAGACCAAGAUUGGUAUUAUGCUUGAUAUGGACUGUUUGUAAAGUACGAUAUCUGACUCGUGAAAUGAACGUGCUACCGAAGGCACAUGAAGUUUUUAAUUCACAAUUGAACUCCAGUAAUUAAACUGAUAUGACUCUCUUUCCCUACACCCGUUGAUCACAUACUUGAACGUCACAGAGUCAUGAACUAUAUUUUCUGUGUUUACGCUUUCAUAACGGCUGGUAUUAUCAAGUCAUGCAAACCACAAGCAGUUAUCCGAUGCGCCUCUCUAUUCCUAAUUAAAUUACAUUUGAACAUACAUGAAAAGCAUCUGCCAUUCUAGGUGUUGCAAUCUCGGCUUUAGUGAGGGCACAUUUCCAUCCACUAUCACACAAUAUAUCAUUAGAAUUUUAAAACAAGCCAUUUUACUGUACAAUCCACCAAACAUGACGAUAAACUUAUAUUCUCCAUACAAAUCUGGCCAUUCCAACUGAAAUUGCUUAGCCAACACCAAAGGGUUUAUCUGCAGCUAUAAUUGAUGUUUGCCUGAUAUUUAUAAAGUAAACCACCCUUUUCACAUAAUUCAUCGAAUUCUUGAUCAUAGCAACUGAAAGGGCGUAUUUUAUAAACAGUGACAUCAAAAAUAUACUCGAACAGUAAAACCUUGAUGAUUAGAGGAACGAAUGACGACCAAGAUAUGUUUAAGAAACUCAAAUCCUCAUCUGUUAGAUGAACUACGAUUUCCAUCAUUGUUCCCUUGUAGUGUGUGUUAUUCCUUCUUUAUUUAUAAAUAGUUUGCGCAUGUGCGAAAUUGUUAAACGCAAAAGUAUCAUAACCUUCAAAAAUGUCAUCAAACAAAUUUAUAACGUUAAUAAAAAUUCAAAAGCGCUAAGCAUAUAAUAAAUAGUUCAAAUGUUUGUGUGUGAAUUUUGUAAUAUUUUCACGCAUGCGCAAACCUAGAACAAGUCAAAUACUCAUUUCUAGUAUAAACAUCAUAUGUAAAGAAUGUAUCCACCAAACCUGAUAUUUUUUUUUUACUCAAUGAAGGUCAAAGAAAACGUAUUCCAGAAAAAUGAGUAUUUCAAUCUGGAAAAAAACAGCCAUUUUAGAAAAGGUGGUGGCCAUUUUGAAAAAAAUAAUUUUUCUAAUGGCCAGCAGUUUUUUCUUUAAAAGUAUAUAAUAAUGAUGCUUCGUGCUAAGUUUCAUGCUUGUAUCGUCAUUUGCACAAUUCCCUUGAUAUCGCUUACUAAUAUCUUCCACUAUUUGAUCUACGUAUAAAGUUAUUUUUUGUGCGACAAUGUAAUCAGGGAUAUUUUUUUAGUUAUUCCCGUCUGUAUAUCAAUAUAAGCCCAAAUAAAAACAAAAAAGAAUGUAUCAAAUUAUAGAAAUACAAAUGUAUCUUUGAUAACUAUAAUUGCAACGUACACAUUACAUUUUUGAGUUUAUUUCAGAUCCAACAUCAGAGAAGAUUUGAACGAAAAUAGAAAUGAAUGGAUUUUAAAAUGAAAGAUAACAUAAAAAACAAAGUUGAUGAAGAAUGACACCGGCGUUAAUGCUAAAAAUGCCGGGCCACCGAUUUAGUGAAAGUGAAAUUAUGCAGUCAGAUAAACAAUGAUUAGAAACCUGACGUUUCGAUCGAAGUUUGAGAACGAAAAACAAUUCGAAAACAAUGAAUAUUUAAACCAACAUUUUCUUCAAGUUUUGGUCACUAGGAUGUUUU